rnacentral:lncRNA from 1 species
CAGAUUUUAAAGCGAAGUCUAAAUUAAGGAACAACACUCCUAAAUUUCAAUUUGGAGCAAACAAGCUACCAUAAGUAUUUUUCUGAAAGCUGUGGAAAUAUUAUCCAACGUAAAAGCACAGAUGCUAUUUUAAAACUCAGGUUCUUGGAACCUGCGUUCUUCCUUUCAUUUUCCGAUUAUUUGCCACCUGACAUCUUACUUCACAAGUCCCGAAAAGAGCAGAAGCACAGCCAGAGUUGGGGUGAUCAGCGGCUCUGUGGGUGACCACUAACUUCUCAGCGUGUCCUCCAGCUUGCAACACCUUCCCGCGAGGCUCUUCCCAACGCCAAGAGUACAGACAUGAAAGUCGGAAGGCAUCAAGUUUCAGCUCCCUGAGUGAUGGAAGAUCAUUCGGCCACGAGGACCUUCGAAGUUGGCCCCGUCUACAGCUUGUAAUGAAAAGGAUAAUCUGUCUUGUAAUGAAAAACAGGACCCACACAAACAAACCCAGCAUCCAACCGCCUUCUACCGCGCCUCACUCUUCCCUAAUAAGGGCCAGUGACAAAUAUUGCCGUCCAGUUCCACCCAAAAAAGAGGAAGCAGUAGAUCUUCCUUUUAAUAACUUCCCAAAGUGUUACAAAUAAUAAAAAGGACGCAUAAAUCAUCGCAGGGGCGUCUGAACGUGGACCACGGAAGGAUUUACUCCUCUCAAGCCUGGACUUC